rnacentral:rRNA from 1 species
AGAUUGAACGCUGGCGGUAUGCUUUACACAUGCAAGUCGAACGGCAGCACGGACUUCGGUCUGGUGGCGAGUGGCGAACGGGUGAGUAAUGUAUCGGAACGUGCCCAGUAGUGGGGGAUAACUACUCGAAAGAGUGGCUAAUACCGCAUGAGAUCUCUGGAUGAAAGCGGGGGACCGUAAGGCCUCGCGCUACUGGAGCGGCCGAUAUCAGAUUAGGUAGUUGGUAGGGUAAAGGCCUACCAAGCCAACGAUCUGUAGCUGGUCUGAGAGGACGACCAGCCACACUGGAACUGAGACACGGUCCAGACUCCUACGGGAGGCAGCAGUGGGGAAUUUUGGACAAUGGACGCAAGUCUGAUCCAGCAAUACCGCGUGCAGGACGAAGGCCGUUCGGGUUGUAAACUGUCUUUUGUACGGAAACGAAAAGCCUUCUUCUAAUACAGGGGGGUCAUGACGGUACCGUAAGAAUAAGCACCGGCUAACUACGUG